rnacentral:rRNA from 1 species
GGGUUGUGAGGUUAAGCGACUAAGCGUACACGGUGGAUGCCCUGGCAGUCAGAGGCGAUGAAGGACGUGCUAAUCUGCGAUAAGCGUCGGUAAGGUGAUAUGAACCGUUAUAACCGGCGAUUUCCGAAUGGGGAAACCCAGUGUGAUUCGUCACACUAUCAUUAACUGAAUCCAUAGGUUAAUGAGGCGAACCGGGGGAACUGAAACAUCUAAGUACCCCGAGGAAAAGAAAUCAACCGAGAUUCCCCCAGUAGCGGCGAGCGAACGGGGAGCAGCCCAGAGCCUGAAUCAGUGUGUGUGUUAGUGGAAGCGUCUGGAAAGGCGCGCGAUACAGGGUGACAGCCCCGUACACAAAAAUGCACAUGCUGUGAGCUCGAUGAGUAGGGCGGGACACGUGGUAUCCUGUCUGAAUAUGGGGGGACCAUCCUCCAAGGCUAAAUACUCCUGACUGACCGAUAGUGAACCAGUACCGUGAGGGAAAGGCGAAAAGAACCCCGGCGAGGGGAGUGAAAAAGAACCUGAAACCGUGUACGUACAAGCAGUGGGAGCACGCUUAGGCGUGUGACUGCGUACCUUUUGUAUAAUGGGUCAGCGACUUAUAUUCUGUAGCAAGGUUAACCGAAUAGGGGAGCCGAAGGGAAACCGAGUCUUAACUGGGCGUUAAGUUGCAGGGUAUAGACCCGAAACCCGGUGAUCUAGCCAUGGGCAGGUUGAAGGUUGGGUAACACUAACUGGAGGACCGAACCGACUAAUGUUGAAAAAUUAGCGGAUGACUUGUGGCUGGGGGUGAAAGGCCAAUCAAACCGGGAGAUAGCUGGUUCUCCCCGAAAGCUAUUUAGGUAGCGCCUCGUGAAUUCAUCUCCGGGGGUAGAGCACUGUUUCGGCAAGGGGGUCAUCCCGACUUACCAACCCGAUGCAAACUGCGAAUACCGGAGAAUGUUAUCACGGGAGACACACGGCGGGUGCUAACGUCCGUCGUGAAGAGGGAAACAACCCAGACCGCCAGCUAAGGUCCCAAAGUCAUGGUUAAGUGGGAAACGAUGUGGGAAGGCCCAGACAGCCAGGAUGUUGGCUUAGAAGCAGCCAUCAUUUAAAGAAAGCGUAAUAGCUCACUGGUCGAGUCGGCCUGCGCGGAAGAUGUAACGGGGCUAAACCAUGCACCGAAGCUGCGGCAGCGACGCUUAUGCGUUGUUGGGUAGGGGAGCGUUCUGUAAGCCUGUGAAGGUGUGCUGUGAGGCAUGCUGGAGGUAUCAGAAGUGCGAAUGCUGACAUAAGUAACGAUAAAGCGGGUGAAAAGCCCGCUCGCCGGAAGACCAAGGGUUCCUGUCCAACGUUAAUCGGGGCAGGGUGAGUCGACCCCUAAGGCGAGGCCGAAAGGCGUAGUCGAUGGGAAACAGGUUAAUAUUCCUGUACUUGGUGUUACUGCGAAGGGGGGACGGAGAAGGCUAUGUUGGCCGGGCGACGGUUGUCCCGGUUUAAGCGUGUAGGCUGGUUUUCCAGGCAAAUCCGGAAAAUCAAGGCUGAGGCGUGAUGACGAGGCACUACGGUGCUGAAGCAACAAAUGCCCUGCUUCCAGGAAAAGCCUCUAAGCAUCAGGUAACAUCAAAUCGUACCCCAAACCGACACAGGUGGUCAGGUAGAGAAUACCAAGGCGCUUGAGAGAACUCGGGUGAAGGAACUAGGCAAAAUGGUGCCGUAACUUCGGGAGAAGGCACGCUGAUAUGUAGGUGAAGUCCCUCGCGGAUGGAGCUGAAAUCAGUCGAAGAUACCAGCUGGCUGCAACUGUUUAUUAAAAACACAGCACUGUGCAAACACGAAAGUGGACGUAUACGGUGUGACGCCUGCCCGGUGCCGGAAGGUUAAUUGAUGGGGUCAGCGCAAGCGAAGCUCUUGAUCGAAGCCCCGGUAAACGGCGGCCGUAACUAUAACGGUCCUAAGGUAGCGAAAUUCCUUGUCGGGUAAGUUCCGACCUGCACGAAUGGCGUAAUGAUGGCCAGGCUGUCUCCACCCGAGACUCAGUGAAAUUGAACUCGCUGUGAAGAUGCAGUGUACCCGCGGCAAGACGGAAAGACCCCGUGAACCUUUACUAUAGCUUGACACUGAACAUUGAGCCUUGAUGUGUAGGAUAGGUGGGAGGCUUUGAAGUGUGGACGCCAGUCUGCAUGGAGCCGACCUUGAAAUACCACCCUUUAAUGUUUGAUGUUCUAACGUUGACCCGUAAUCCGGGUUGCGGACAGUGUCUGGUGGGUAGUUUGACUGGGGCGGUCUCCUCCUAAAGAGUAACGGAGGAGCACGAAGGUUGGCUAAUCCUGGUCGGACAUCAGGAGGUUAGUGCAAUGGCAUAAGCCAGCUUGACUGCGAGCGUGACGGCGCGAGCAGGUGCGAAAGCAGGUCAUAGUGAUCCGGUGGUUCUGAAUGGAAGGGCCAUCGCUCAACGGAUAAAAGGUACUCCGGGGAUAACAGGCUGAUACCGCCCAAGAGUUCAUAUCGACGGCGGUGUUUGGCACCUCGAUGUCGGCUCAUCACAUCCUGGGGCUGAAGUAGGUCCCAAGGGUAUGGCUGUUCGCCAUUUAAAGUGGUACGCGAGCUGGGUUUAGAACGUCGUGAGACAGUUCGGUCCCUAUCUGCCGUGGGCGCUGGAGAACUGAGGGGGGCUGCUCCUAGUACGAGAGGACCGGAGUGGACGCAUCACUGGUGUUCGGGUUGUCAUGCCAAUGGCACUGCCCGGUAGCUAAAUGCGGAAGAGAUAAGUGCUGAAAGCAUCUAAGCACGAAACUUGCCCCGAGAUGAGUUCUCCCUGACUCCUUGAGAGUCCUGAAGGAACGUUGAAGACGACGACGUUGAUAGGCCGGGUGUGUAAGCGCAGCGAUGCGUUGAGCUAACCGGUACUAAUGAACCGUGAGGCUUAACCUUACAACGCCGAAGGUGUUU